UACAGAGGUCUCAAGCGUUGUUCGGAUUCAUUGGGCGUAAAGGGUGCGUAGGCGGCGCGGUAAGUCGGGUGUGAAAUCUCAGGGCUCAACCCUGAAACUGCAUUCGAUACUGCGCGGCUAGAGUGCUGGAGGGGAGACUGGAAUUUACGGUGUAGUGGUGAAAUGCGUAGAUAUCGUAAGGAAGACCAGUGGCGAAGGCGGGUCUCUGGACAGUUCCUGACGCUGAGGCACGAAGGCCAGGGGAGCAAACGGG
rnacentral:rRNA from 1 species